rnacentral:rRNA from 1 species
UACGGGGGGGGCAAGCGUUGUUCGGAAUUACUGGGCGUAAAGGGCGCGUAGGCGGCCACCGCAAGUCGACUGUGAAAUCUCCGGGCUUAACCCGGAAAGGUCAGCCGAUACUGCGGGGCUAGAGUGCAGAAGGGGCAACUGGAAUUCUCGGUGUAGCGGUGAAAUGCGCAGAUAUCAGGAGGAACACCAAUGGCGAAGGCAGCUCACUGGGACGGUAUUGACGCUGAGACGCGAAAGCGUGGGGAGCAAACAGG